UGAGGAAUAUUGCGCAAUGGAGGCAACUCUGACCCAGCCAUGCCGCGUGCAGGAAGAAGGCGCUACGCGUUGUAAACUGCUUUUAACCGGGAAGAAACCCCAGGACGUGUCCUGGGUUGACGGUACCGGAGGAAUAAGCACCGGCUAACUUCGUGCCAGCAGCCGCGGUAAUACGAAGGGUGCAAGCGUUAUCCGGAUUCAUUGGGUUUAAAGGGUGCGUAGGUGGGGCGUUAAGUCAGUGGUGAAAGCCUACAGCUCAACUGUAGAAUUGCCAUUGAUACUGGCGCUCUUGAGUGCGCUUGAAGUAGGCGGAAUGUGCCGUGUAGCGUGAAUGCUUAGAUAUGGCACAGAACACCAAUUGCGAAGGCAGCUUACUAAGGCGAUACUGACACUGAGGCACGA
rnacentral:rRNA from 1 species